UACGUAGGGGGCAAGCGUUGUCCGGAAUCAUUGGGCGUAAAGAGCGUGUAGGCGGCUCGAUAAGUCUGCUGUGAAAGUCCAGGGCUCAACCCUGGAAGGCCGGUGGAAACUGUCGGGCUAGAGUCCGGAAGAGGCGAGUGGAAUUCCCGGUGUAGCGGUGAAAUGCGCAGAUAUCGGGAGGAAACCCAAUGGCCAAGGCCGCCCGCUGGGACGGUACUGACGCUGAGACGCGAAAGCGUGGGGAGCAAACAGG
rnacentral:rRNA from 1 species